UAGGCAUAUUAUUUUAUGAACAAAGGGAAAGAGAGGUUAAGUUAGUUCUUCAAGCUUAUAGAAAAAAAAAACACUGCAGUGCUAGAAAUAGACAGCAGUUAAUCUAAGUCAGUGAAUACAAGGAGCGUUCCCAGUGGCAUUUCAGUUACCAGCCCACUGAGGCGUGAACACAGCAUCCCUUAUGAUUUCUAGUGCACAAGGACAAACAUAAAAAUAGAAGAGUGUCUUUCCCAUCCAAGAAUGCCUGUUCAGAUUCUCAGUAGCAGCCAGAAUGGAGGGUCUCUGGUCAGCAGGGAAGUAUGUUUUGUUUGGUGGAAACCUGGGUUCAUGGACCACACAAAUCCUGGAAGGGAGCCACAGUUUUACAGAUGCAUGGCAAGGCAACUAAGGUUGAAAAUGAGUGCUUCUCCAACAAAACCAGAAGCAGCCUCUGAGAUUAGCCGGUUUGUUCCCACCUCGAGCUGUGUAUAAGGUCAAUUAUUCAGCUAAAAAUGUUUUAAAGAGCAGACAAUAUUCCUGGGUCCUGAGGAAUCCAGGAAAGUGAAAAUGUGAUGUUUUCUGAAUGAGCCAGUGCAUCCAGAAAAAGAUAAAAUGCUGAGGAAUUGCAAGGAUACAAAACAGAGAGCUGCAAGCCCUCUAUGAAAUGAAGAGAAGAGGCAAAUGGCUUUCAAAGAUCAAGGCUCAUGGAGAGAAACAAGAGAGUAAUAGUCGUGGGUGAAAAGUGAGAAGUUGAUGUGUCUCUGACCCCAUGGAGAAGGAAUGUAAACCUUGAUUCUGCAAGUUCUGCCCUGAUGACAAUUGUACCAACCUCAAGUGUGGAAAGUCAGUGGGGUUCUCCCAUUUAGUGGUAGCUGAUAGAACUUUCCUUCAGAGGAUCUCAGCUCAGCCAUCAUCACCCUGAUGACCAGACUAAAGAGAUGUGUAUAUUGAAACUUCCAGGCUGACGUCAAGGUGGUAGAUGGGCACCUUUCAGACCUGGUUCAUUCUCCCAUAGAAUACGGACAUUGAGCGCAUGUUUGUCUCGCAGGCAAGGCAUCAUUACCACAGCAGAAAUUCCUAAUACUGGAGAACCUGGCUCCAAGAAGAAUCUUUGCCUGAUACUAUAUAUGAGCUAGGUUUACAGUCUAUUUCCCUGCGACUCUAACAGCAUGAUAGGUCACCUGUCACACCCUGUUUCUCAAAAAUACUAAUUUUCUUAGCCUUUCAUGACAUCAAACUGUUCUUCACCCCCCCCCACACACACACACACAAUGACACCACAGAUAUGUGGUAAAAUACAAAUAAUAGCACAAGAAAAAGUAGACAGUACAUUCAUGUUAGGAUGAACUUAGCAACAAAGGCAAUGCUUUCUAAAAAUGUAUAGUAUGAUGGAGAUCUCCGUCUUACCCCUAA